rnacentral:tRNA from 1 species
UAGUUCUGUAGGCUAAGUUAGGCUGUCAGUUUGUGGUGCUGGAGGUUUUCUUUAACAGAGCUAGUUG